rnacentral:tRNA from 1 species
AUUUCAAUAGCUUAUAAUAGAGUAUAAUAUUGAAGAUAUUAAGGAAAAUAUGAUUUUUGAAAUA